AUCCCAGCUCCAAUAGCGUAUAUUAAAGUUGUUGUGGUUAAAAAGCUCGUAGUUGGAUCUCGGCGGUCUGAGGGCGGUUCGCUUCAGAGCGCUACUGCCCUAUAGACCGUAGUUUUGCCAGAGGUCUCAGGGUGCUCUUAACCGAGUGUCUUGCGAUGCUGGCAGGUUUACUUUGAAAAAAUUAGAGUGCUCAAAGCAGGCUUUUACGCCUGAAUAUUCGUGCAUGGAAUAAUAGAAUAGGAAGUCGUUUCUAUUUUGUUGGUUUUCGGAAAUCGACUUAAUGAUUAAUAGGGACAGUCGGGGGCAUUUGUAUUCAAACGACAGAGGUGAAAUUCUUGGACCGUUUGAAGACAAACUACUGCGAAAGCAUUUGCCAAGAAUGUUUUCAUUA
rnacentral:rRNA from 1 species